UGAACGCUGGCGGCGUGCCUAAUACAUGCAAGUCGAGCGAACAGAUGAGGAGCUUGCUCCUCUGACGUUAGCGGCGGACGGGUGAGUAACACGUGGAUAACCUACCUAUAAGACUGGGAUAACUUCGGGAAACCGGAGCUAAUACCGGAUAAUAUAUUGAACCGCAUGGUUCAAUAGUGAAAGACGGUUUUGCUGUCACUUAUAGAUGGAUCCGCGCCGCAUUAGCUAGUUGGUAAGGUAACGGCUUACCAAGGCAACGAUGCGUAGCCGACCUGAGAGGGUGAUCGGCCACACUGGAACUGAGACACGGUCCAGACUCCUACGGGAGGCAGCAGUAGGGAAUCUUCCGCAAUGGGCGAAGGCCUGACGGAGCAACGCCGCGUGAGUGAUGAAGGUCUUCGGAUCGUAAAACUCUGUUAUUAGGGAAGAACAAAUGUGUAAGUAACUAUGCACGUCUUGACGGUACCUAAUCAGAAAGCCACGGCUAACUACGUG
rnacentral:rRNA from 1 species